rnacentral:tRNA from 1 species
GGGUCGGUGCUCCGAGUGGUUAAUGGGGGUGGAUUGUAAAUUCACUGGCUACGCCUACGUCGGUUCGAAUCCGACUCGACCCA